CUGGUCAGAAUGGUCAUCAGAAUUAACCUGAACCAUUCCUUUUUCAACCCAGCCUUUGAAGUCUAUUCUACGACUCCUUUUUCUAUUUAUUAUUAUACAUUGGUUGAAUCAUUAUUGAGUAGCUUCUAUAUGCAAGGCACUAAAGAAGGCUGCAGUGGUGAAGAUAACCCAUUUAUUGUCAUUUAGAAUAUUUAAAUCUAGUCAUAAAGAAAGAAGACAAGUAACUAUAAGACUUGGCAGACUAGGAAACUACAAAGAGCUCAGAGAAACUCACCUGAGAAUCAUCUGAGUUGAUUACUAUCUCCCACUCUAGUCCUUACUUCCUGUCCUCAUUCAGAGGAUGAAGAGGUAAGAAGUGAAUACAUAUGAGUGUCUUGGGCUUGAAGGAGAAGAAGGUAAGAGGAGGCAGAGAUUUCUACAUACUCCAGAUUUACUUCUCUUUUUCCAGUUUCUGGACCUUUGUUGCUACCUUAACUAGGAUAAAAUGAAGGAGAUAGGACCAUCAAGAGCCAAGUGGCCUACAGCAUUGUAAUCUGAGAAAUGAAGAACUACCUUGACAUUUUUAAAAGAAAUAUGGAUUAGUUGAAUUGGAAUUUGACCAAUCCAUUUGGGGAAAUUCCCUUUCAGAUGAUGAAUUAAUUCACAAGAACCAAGAUGUGGACAGCACUCUUUCUCGUAAGUCUUACAGAAUUGUCCUGGAUUAUUGCAUAGCAAAGUCAAUUACACUUGAUCUUCCCACAAUGUUCCACUCUCUGUGUAUGAUGUUCUCCUGGUUCUGCUUACUUCUCUCCACAUCAAAUCAUCUAUCCAUGCUCGACAUCCCCCUACCAUCCUAUGUACCAGGCACUAUACAAAGGCGUACAAGGAUCCAGGAAUCCCUGCAAGCCAAGGAAAUCUGGGAAUUCUUAGAAGCAACUGGUGGUGCGGUGUAUAGAGUUCUGGGUCUUGAGUCAGGAAAACCUACAUUCAAAUCCUUCCUCAGAUAUUUGCUCACCUUGUAA
rnacentral:lncRNA from 1 species